rnacentral:lncRNA from 1 species
CGCCAUUUGGUUUUCUUCUUCUUCUUCUGGCUUUUUUCCGGAAUCUGUUGCCUUUUGAAACAAUGAAGGACAGAAAGACAAAGUCAGAAUGGGCUUUGCUUCUCCUCUGCCCCUCUCCUCCUUAGCCCCAGAUCUGAGUCAGAGGAGGCCUGUUCUGGCGGGGUUAGUGGGUGAGGGGGAUGGGGAUGCCAUCCCUCUCCCAGUGGCUGU